UACGUAGGGGGCAAGCGUUGUCCGGAAUCAUUGGGCGUAAAGAGCGUGUAGGCGGCCCGGUAAGUCCGCUGUGAAAGUCCAGGGCUCAACCCUGGGAUGCCGGUGGAUACUGUCGGGCUCGAGUCCGGAAGAGGAGUGUGGAAUUCCUGGUGUAGCGGUGAAAUGCGCAGAUAUCAGGAGGAACACCAACGGCGAAGGCAGCUCGCUGGGACGGUACUGACGCUGAGACGCGAAAGCGUGGGGAGCGAACAGG
rnacentral:rRNA from 1 species